AGAAAAAGUAAAAACAAAGUCAAACCAGUCAUUUUCAAAAACCUACGCAAUCGCAUAGUUUAUUUCGCCGAGCCCGUCAAAAAGAGGAGCAACAGCGGGCCGAGUAAGCCAGUUUCUGUCAAAAAAAAACCCAUAGCGGCGAAAGUCCCGACAAACAGAAAGCAUUAAACUCAUUAGUGUAGAGGACAACCUGUCUGAUUCGAGCGAAGUUAUUUGAAACAAACCGAAUAAUUGUUUGAUGAAAAUCUGAAACGCGAUCAACAUGUUGUUUUACCGAUUGUUAUUUGAAGUUUUGUUGAAUUGUUGAUUGUUUUGUUGAAGUUUCCAUUCGUUAUCACGGGCACAGGUCGAUUGCCCUUUGAACCUGUUUGUGCCACCGACUGAAACAAAAUGCCACCAUUCGGGACAAAGGAGCAGCGGCAGGUUCUAAGGACUCAAAAGAACAGCGAACUCUCAAUUUGAAAUCGAACCAAUUAGUUGUCCUUUGUGCUGGCACCUUUGUCGCCUGAAUUUCGCAAACAUCGCUUCAUUUUUCCCAUGGCCCAUGGCUCAUGGUCCAUUUGCCAUGGCUUCACCCAAGAUUGCCACUGUUUUUCCGUGGCCAAGGCGAGUCCUGUUUCGGAGUCGAGGUCCUUUUCGAUGUUACUUUUGAACCGUGGAAGGAGCACAGCAGGGCGUGCGGUGCGAAGAUCAGAGGAGCGGCCCGCCGCGGGGCGCCCUCAACUGAUGAUCAUUUCGACACCCCAUUUUUGCGGCGUUCUCUUUUCUUUUUGCUCCUCCGGUUCCCUUUGGCCCGCUCCCUUCGCCAUGCACCGCGAGAAAAACGACGCAUAUACGGAACACAAUUGAAAUUGAUAUGCUUUCAGUUGCUCCAAAUUGAUUACCAAGUUUUGAACAUAGAAAAUUUUGUCGUUUUUAGUUGAAAAAAUUGUUAAUU